AGCGAACGCUGGCAGCAUGCCUAACACAUGCAAGUCGAACGAGACCUUCGGGUCUAGUGGCGCACGGGUGCGUAACGCGUGGGAACCUGCCCUUAGGUUCGGAAUAACUCCCCGAAAGGGGUGCUAAUACCGGAUAAUGUCUUCGGACCAAAGAUUUAUCGCCUUUGGAUGGGCCCGCGUUGGAUUAGCUAGUUGGUAGGGUAAAAGCCUACCAAGGCGACGAUCCAUAGCUGGUCUGAGAGGAUGAUCAGCCACACUGGGACUGAGACACGGCCCAGACUCCUACGGGAGGCAGCAGUGGGGAAUAUUGGACAAUGGGCGAAAGCCUGAUCCAGCAAUGCCGCGUGAGUGAUGAAGGCCUUAGGGUUGUAAAGCUCUUUUACCCGGGAUGAUAAUGACAGUACCGGGAGAAUAAGCUCCGGCUAACUCCGUG
rnacentral:rRNA from 1 species